UACGAAGGGGGCUAGCGUUGCUCGGAAUUACUGGGCGUAAAGCGCACGUAGGCGGCUUCUUAAGUCGGUGGUGAAAUCCUGGAGCUCAACUCCAGAACUGCCUCGAUACUGGGAGCUCGAGUCCGGGAGAGGUGAGUGGAACUGCGAGUGUAGAGGUGAAAUUCGUAGAAUAUUCGCAAGAACACCAGUGGCGAAGGCGGACUCACUGGCCCGGUACUGACGCUG
rnacentral:rRNA from 1 species